UAUUAUUUAUUUCCACAAAUCACAUUUUCAUACAACUCUUUAUAGUGAAAUGUUACACACAUCUAUUUUGAUUUAAAUCGUAUCAUUGAUUAUUCAUCUAUAACUUAGACUUUUGAAAUAGUUUAUUAUACCCCCCGCAACAAGUUGUGUGUGUGUGGGGGGGGGGGUAUACUGGAAUCGGGUUGUCCGUCUGUCUGUUCGUCCGUCUGUAGACGCAAUGGUUUCCGGGCUCUAAAGCAUUAUCCUUUCCACCUACCGUCACCAUAUCAUAUAUAUGGACUACCCAUGGGAUGAAGAUGUUCCCUAUCGAUUUUGGGGUCAAAAGGUCAAAGGUCACGCGCACUGGACAUCAAAGUAGCAAUAUGGUUUCCAUUUAAAUUCUUUAACGGCUUUUUUCAUCGCAUGGAGAUGCUGUGUUCCUAGAUACCUUUUGGAUCAUAAUAUUGAAGUUUUACCUAUUUCCAACACCCUUUAGGAGAUUGGGAUUGGCAGUUUACUCCAUGCACCGACAGGAAUGAUAAACUGUGAUAUUCGUAAAUGGAACUGGGACACGUUCUAAAUAUACUCAGGGACAGAAUGAUGUGCAGCAAGGCUCGUCAUGGAUUUUACCAAAUACAGAACACUGCAAGGCUUGCAAAAUGAAGACCUCAGUAAAAAAAUUCCUAAAUUAUCCACUAAUGGCAGCUCACUACCUGCCCCUUGUGAUGUUAAAAGAGGCCGUUGUUCUCAUUUGUUCCAAAACAGGAAUGGCAUAUGAGGAGGCCAACAGAAGAUGCACCUCCAAUGACCUCCACGGAGUGUGCACUCACAAAACGAAUAAAUUAUUAUUUCUUUU